rnacentral:ncRNA from 1 species
CACUCUGCUGGGCCAACACUGACACUGAGAGACGAAAGUUAGGGGAGAAAAUGGUAUUAGAUACCCCAGUAGUCCUAGCCAUAAAUGAUGGAUACUAAGUGUUGUGCGUAUCGACCCACGCAGUGAUGUAUCUAAUGUGUUAAGUAUCCCGCCUGGGGAGUACGUUCGCAAGAAUGAAACUCAAAGGAAUUGACGGGGGCCUGCACAAGCGGUGGAGCAUGUGGUUCAAUUCGAUGCAAAGUGAAGAACCUUACCAGGGCUUGACAUGCCGUGAAUCCUCCCGAAAGAGAGGAGUGCCUUCGGGAACGCAGACACAGGUGGUGCAUGGCUGUCGUCAGCUCAUGCCGUAAGGUGUUGGGUUAAGUCCCGCAAUGAGCGCAAACCUCGUGUUUAGUUUCCAACAUUGAGUUUGGAACCCUGAACAAACUGACGGUGAUAAGUCGGAUGAAGGUGAGGAUGACGUCAAUUCAUCAUGCCCCUUACGCCCUGGGCGACACAUGUGCUACAAUGAUCGGGAAAAAGGGUCACGACCCCACAAGGGCAAUCUAACCUCAAAAACCCGGCCUCAGUUUGGAUUGCAGGCUGCAACUCGCCUACAUGAAGCCGGAAUCGCUAGUAAUCAUCGGUCAGCCAUACGACGGUGAAUCUGUUCCUGGGCCUUGUACACACCGCCCGUCACACUAUGGGAGCUGGACAUGCCCCAAGUC